rnacentral:rRNA from 1 species
AGACCCGAAACCCGGUGAUCUAGCCAUGGGCAGGUUGAAGGUUGGGUAACACUAACUGGAGGACCGAACCGACUAAUGUUGAAAAAUUAGCGGAUGACCUGUGGCUGGGGGUGAAAGGCCAAUCAAACCGGGAGAUAGCUGGUUCUCCCCGAAAGCUAUUUAGGUAGCGCCUCGUGAAUUCAUCUCCGGGGGUAGAGCACUGUUUCGGCUAGGGGGCCAUCCCGGCUUACCAACCCGAUGCAAACUGCGAAUACCGGAGAAUGUUAUCACGGGAGACACACGGCGGGUGCUAACGUCCGUCGUGAAGAGGGAAACAACCCAGACCGCCAGCUAAGGUCCCAAAGUCAUGGUUAAGUGGGAAACGAUGUGGGAAGGCCCAGACAGCCAGGAUGUUGGCUUAGAAGCAGCCAUCAUUUAAAGAAAGCGUAAUAGCUCACUGGUCGAGUCGGCCUGCGCGGAAGAUGUAACGGGGCUAAACCAUGCACCGAAGCUGCGGCAGCGACACUGUGUGUUGUUGGGUAGGGGAGCGUUCUGUAAGCCUGCGAAGGUGGCCUGUGAGGGUUGCUGGAGGUAUCAGAAGUGCGAAUGCUGACAUAAGUAACGAUAAAGCGGGUGAAAAGCCCGCUCGCCGGAAGACCAAGGGUUCCUGUCCAACGUUAAUCGGGGCAGGGUGAGUCGACCCCUAAGGCGAGGCCGAAAGGCGUAGUCGAUGGGAAACGGGUUAAUAUUCCCGUACUUGGUGUUACUGCGAAGGGGGGACGGAGAAGGCUAUGUUGGCCGGGCGACGGUUGUCCCGGUUUAAGCGUGUAGGCUGGUUUUCCAGGCAAAUCCGGAAAAUCAAGGCUGAGGCGUGACGACGAGGCACUACGGUGCUGAAGCAACAA